GCAAUACCCCGGAAGUGAAUAUUGUACUUGUUUACGCUCCAACGCAGGAAAAUAAGUUUAGUUUUUAGGAAUAAUUUUGAUUUAAUUGGAAUUUUAGGCAUGAUUAUGAUUUGGUUUUAAGUGUCUAAUGGUGUAUUACAGCAGGAAAAGUGUGCCCGGGAAUACCGUUAGUUGGCGGCCAUAAAGUGAUUCCAUGUAUUUAUGAAGGCUGUGCAGGCUGUUGGUGUCAGGUUGUUGCGGUGAAGCACGACUACAAGCCGGGUACUUUGUUUCCGCUCCCCGCCUCCAGUAUUAUCCCCCCCACUACAUGUUCCUUCGAAUGACACGUAGUUGUUUGCUGGGAGCCGCACAACAGAGACAGCCAUCAUGGGCAAAUUCAACCGGCGGUUUAAACCAUUGCAGCAGGACAGGGACUGUGGCCGGCCCAUGUGGCGUCGUGUCCGGGUACUGAUGCUAUGUCUCCUCGGUGUGCUGGUGCUCUCGCUGGGGGUCGGGGUCUACCACCUGUCCAACGACUCCAUCGCCCCUGGAAAUGUUAACCGAAUCCUGGGUGCAGAUCUGACCAAGGACCGGCUGUUGCACAAACCCAGUAAGUCUUCUCCAGCUCAAAUCCGCCGUUUAGUGUCCCAAGUGGACGGGACUCGUCUGUGGGAGACUCACCUGAAGCCCAUCCUGAUAGAAAGGCUUCCUGGCACACAAGGCAGCCUGGUUGUACAGCAGCACAUCACCUCCGCCUUGUCUUCCCUGUCUGCCGGCUGGGACGUCCACUUGGACUCCUUCCAAUCGCCGACUCCUCGUGGAAAAGUCACUUUCACUAACAUUGUCGCCACCCUGGACCCUUCAGCUCCACGUCGGCUGCUGCUGACUUGCCAUUACGACUCCAAAGCGCUGCCUGCAGACAGACGCGCCCCAAAGAGGGUUUUUCUUGGGGCGAGUGACUCGGCGGUGCCCUGUGCUAUUAUCCUGGAACUAGCGACCUCUCUGGAUAAUCAGCUUAGGUCCGUCAAACAACAGAAGCUUCCGUUAUCCCUUCAGCUGGUGUUCUUUGAUGGGGAAGAGUCCUUUGAAGAAUGGACCGCCACUGACUCGUUGUACGGCUCCCGUCACAUGGCUGAGCGCAUGGCCCGCACGCCUCACUCUGCAGGCAGUACAGACACCAUGCUGCAAGCUGUGGAUCUCUUUGUGCUGCUAGACCUUCUCGGUGGUCCCGAUCCACUGAUUGUAAACCACUUCGACAACACGGCACGCUGGUUUGACCGUCUGAUCGCUGCAGAGAGGCGCCUCCAUAGGCAGGGUCUGCUGGCGUCGCACCCCUUGGAGCAGACCUACUUCAGAAAGGACAUCUUCUUUGGAGCAGUUCAGGAUGACCACAUACCGUUCCUCCAUAGAGGCGUUCCCGUGCUCCACGUCAUCGCCACGCCCUUCCCAAAGUUCUGGCAUACGCUGGACGACACGGAAGAGAACAUGCAUCGACCCACCGUGGAGAACCUGACCAAGAUCAUGGCGGUCUUUUUGGCGGAAUACCUUGGCCUGUGAAGCAAAAGCACUCGUGACUUACUUCUUUGGACGUUCUCAUCGGCCUCUAAAGAUGGUCUGAAGAAUAGUUCCUGUGGUGGAUCCCAGACUUACUACUAAUGUACUUCACACAUCCUUUUGUGCAAGUCAUCGUCUGCACCAGCUCAAAGAUCCUUGCACAAUAUCGUACAAAACUGCAGCUCCUAAGUGCCAGCGGAGGCUGUGACGGUGGUCCAGAGCACGAGUCAACAGGCACCGUACUGCAUAUGACUUUGGGGGUAAACAAACCUACAAGCCCAGCUCGUCAUCUACGGGGACCGACUGAAGCUGAGUCAGGAUCUUGGAGUCUCCGUCCAUAUCGUCGGGAUGCCCCAGCGGCGAGUGGGCGUCCUGCUCUGGCGAGGGGCUCCCCAGGAGCAGCGACUCGCCCCCCGGGAGGCCCAGUAAAGCCGGGUCUACAGGUAGGUGUCCUUUCCCCCGCCCGUCAAACAGAGUCGCUGAGGCAGAAAGGGGCAGGGGGUUCCAGGCGGACUGGGGCAGGUGCAUGUUGGGUGUCAGGCCGCCAUACAUGGGACUGAGGGUGAGCAUGCUCUCCGGCGAGAGCGCGUUCAACAUGGCGGGGGCCACCGACUGGUCCACCAGCGUGUUGGGUUGAGGAACCACGGUCGCCUGGUUGGUCGCGCCCCCGCUCUCCGCUGCGUAUGUGUUGAUGAAGUUCAUGGGGGGUGUUGUGAGGACGCUGGUGGGCUGCUCCGGCUGGGGGGCGACAGGAAGUGUGAGAGCGGGACUCACGCCAUUGGUGGAAACAUCCGGAACUGGUUUUAGAGGCAGACUGGUGAGUUGGAAGCCGGCCGGGAUGGUUAAGAUGAGUUUCCCUUGCUGGACGCUCAAGUAGGGGCUUCCACCCAGGAGGAGGUUACCUAGCAUGGACGUAAAUAAUACAUCAGUUGUCAUGGUGAUUUUUAUUAGUGCUUUCAAGCGAUUGGAAAAACAUGAAUAAUUAUGGCCCGUUACUUAUAUAUUUUUUAAUCUCACCUAAAAAUGCUAGGAAAAGUAUAUUCAAAUGUAACUAUUUAAAUGCAUUACAUUAUUAUUAAGAUAAACAUUUUAACCUGUUUAAUUGUAUUUAUGGACUGUGUAUGUCAAAAAGUCAAUAAACAAAUGUUUAAGAAAAAAGAAAGAAAAAAAGUUUGAUAUUUGAACAAAAAAGUGGUUUUAUAAAGAGUUGUAUUGUUUUUAACAUACCGUAUUUUCCGAAAGUUAUUUAGCAGAGGUCCUUCUUCAGUUGAAGUUAAAAUGGGAGAAACAUAUUUUUUUAUAAUUUAUUUUUGUUUGUUUUCUAAAAACAAAACACACUUUAAAUCCUUUUUUUCCCUCAAAACUCGACAGUGGCCUUAUAACCCGGUGCACCUCAUGUACGGAAUAAUUCUGGUUGUGCUUACCGACCUUGAAGCUAUUUUAUUUGGUACGUGGUGAAGUGAUAAGUGUGACCAGUAGAUGGCAGUCACACAGAAGAGAUACGUGUAGACUGCAAUAUGACUCAAGUAAUCAUCCAUCCAUCCAUCCAUUUUCUACCGCUUGUCCCUUUCGGGGUCGCGGGGGGUGCCGGAGCCUAUCUCAGCUACAAUCGGGCGGAAGGCGGGGUACACCCUGGACAAGUCGCCACCUCAUCACAGGGCCAACACAGAUAGACAGACAACAUUCACACUUAUUCACACACUAGGGACCAUUUAGUGUUCCCAAUCAACUUAUCAACACCAAUGUUUUAUAUGUUCCAUUGAAAAUAUAGAACAUUACACACGGCAAUCAAAAAUCUAUCAAAAUGUUUUAGGACGACUUUGGUAAGCUAUGAAGCCGCAUAGUUUGAUGGAUUGUACUGUGCUUCAACAUAGGAGUAUUAUUAUGGUGUGUGUGUAUAAGUUAAGACAUAUUAUCUGGCGUUUUGUUUCACAAUAUUAUGCAAAAGCAACUUUUCUUACCUUCUGGUACCUGCUGAUCUGUAUUUUUGGAUCUGCAUAAAUCCUGCCGACACCGUAGUGGAUAAGCUUCUUAUUUUUCUGGAUUAACUUCUUAUCUUGUUAUGUGACAUUCAUCCUCCGCUGUUGCCAUUUCUAAUAUAAAGUAGUGUAAAGUUCUUACUUAUAUUUGUCAGUAAACUCGCCAUGAAAGCGCUAAAACAUACCGGUGUAGUGAGUUUACAUUAUUCACCCAAGGAACUUUAGUUAUUAGAGUUCCGGUUGGACAGUUUUUCACGGGACAUACACUACCGUUCAAAAGUUUGGGGUCACCCAAACAAUUUUGUGGAAUAGCCUUCAUUUCUAAGAACAAGAAUAGACUGUCGAGUUUCAGAUGAAAGUUCUCUUUUUCUGGCCAUUUUGAGCGUUUAAUUGACCCCACAAAUGUGAUGCUCCAGAAACUCAAUCUGCUCAAAGGAAGGUCAGUUUUGUCGCUUCUGUAACGAGCUAAACUGUUUAUCAGAUGUGUGAACAUGAUUGCACAAGGGUUUUCUAAUCAUCAAUUAGCCUUCUGAGCCAAUGAGCAAACACAUUGUACCAUUAGAACACUGGAGUGAUAGUUGCUGGAAAUGGGCCUCUAUACACCUAUGUAGAUAUUGCACCAAAAACCAGACAUUUGCAGCUAGAAUAGUCAUUUACCACAUUAGCAAUGUAUAGAGUGUAUUUCUUUAAAGUUAAGACUAGUUUAAAGUUAUUCUAAUUGAAAAGUACAGUGCUUUUCCUUCAAAAAUAAGGACAUUUCAAUGUGACCCCAAACUUUUGAACGGUAGUGUAUAUAUGUAUAUAUAUAUUAUAUAUAAAAAAAAACUUUUCGCAAUUUGCAAUAUGCAUUUUCUUGCAACUGGAACAUUCCAACGCAAACUCGCAGUUAUUGCCUGCAUCUUUCAUGAGUGAAAAGUGUCGCAAAUUAACAAAAAUUGAAAAAAAAUAUGAUUAAAAAGCCAAAUGUCCUGUUGUGGUAAUAUUUCAGCUUCAAAUUGGAUGGAUGGGAAAUAUACGCCCAUCAACAGGUACGAACGAGCAAAAAUGUUGUGAUCACAUGACAAAAAAAAAGGACAACCCGACCUCGUUUUUCCAAAUGGGGAAAAAAUGCACUUUAAGAUGUUGAAUGUUUAUUGAAGUAACAUUUUUGCUCACAGAAAUGAGUUCAGUUUUUUUAUUUAUUCAAGAUAAAUUAAAUGACUUUCAAAUUACACUACCAUUAUAAACAAUUCUACUGUAAUAAGAAAUAGACGUUUUUAUCCUUUUAAACGGUUACUUUCAUUCUUAUUACAGUCUAUAUUACGAUUGCAUGACAUUAUAAACACGGUAUCGGUUAUUUCUUCAGUUUAAGAACAUGAUGUAAACAAAAGCUCAGAGUCUGUCUGCAUAAAACCAAAUAUUUUUUAAGUAAAUUAUUGCAUGUUGUUCUAAUGUGUGGCACCUUGAGACAAGAAUAUAUGUUGAUUGACAAUCUAACCAUUAAACAUGUUUUCCUUCACUCUUUAUUUUGGCAAUCUAAUGCAUUCAUAUGUAUAAAAUAGAAACGUCGCAAAUCAAAUUGCAAUUUUGUCGAGAAUUAAAGACAAAAAAAAGUUUUUUUCUCAAAAUUGUUCAGCCCUAGUAGAUGCACUACAAGACGGUUUCUAAAAUACCCAUAAAAAGUGGUACAUGUCUGCCGCAUGUUUCGAAACACAGGAAAACACCACACAUGAUAACAUGAAUGUGCAGUAAAUGAGUGUUUCCAUGGUGAAAGCCCACGCAAAAACCUAAUUUAAAUAAGGCGGUCUGCACCAGUUAUCAAUUAAUAAUAAUAAUAAUAAAAGAUUUUAUUUGUAAAAGCACUUUACAUUGAGCAAACAACCUCAAAGUGCUACAGUGCAUUUAAAAAAAUAAAAUAAAAUAAAAAACAACGCUGCCAGAACCACAAAUAGCUGCCCCCAACAUGUAAAAAUCAAUUGUACACAAAGUCUUAGGAGAUCACCUGCAACACGCCCACUAAUAGUACACACUGUUUUGUAGUUAGCGUGUGGUAUUUGGAUCUUAGUAGAUCAGGCCCAUAACGCGCUAAAAAUAACUGUGAUUAAUUAAUCGCAAUGAAUGUAAUGUAUGGAAGUUUGCUCACCUUGAGAUGCAGAAGGUAGCUGAAUGAUUCCAGAGUUGAGGAGCUGCAAUCCGGGGGCCACACUGGUUGCGGGGCCCACAUUCUGAAUGGGCCUCAGUUGGUUUAUCCUAAAGGGGCCUUGAUUGAUCCCACCUGGCGCCGACGCCGAAGCCAGGAUCUGUAAAGGCACUCCGGCUGAGGGCACGGAGAGAGCGGGACUCGCCGGCACCACCUGGGGGAAGGAGAUAGUGGAGGAGGUCUGGAUGGACGAGACCGGCACCAACUGAGGCAUGGAGAGCGGCACUAACUGCGCCGCUGUGGAGACUUUGGCCUGCGGUACUGGAACCACUUGUGUUGGCGAGGAGAAGGAAAUGACCUGCGGCGCUUGGAGCUUUGCGGGCGAGGGGUUGAUGGUUUGUGGGAGAGGAUUACCGGGAAGCUGGGAGAUGGACAUGAUGGCCGUGGAACCUUCAACCGCCUCCUGGUGUCCGCUCAUAUGGAAGUUGGCGCUCUGUGGCGUGAGCGAGGACACUGGAACCAGCUGGGGACAUUGGGACACGUGUGCCAGCUGGGAAACUGGUACACCUUGGAUGGAAGGCACCACCUGUGGCAAGGAGAGGACCUGAGGGGAUUGGUUGGAGGUAACCAGCGUACUUGUUGGGUUUAUUUGCGAGGCAGCGCUGGCAAAGACCACAUAUUCUCCGUGUUGACUUGGGAUGGUCAAAGCUGCUGAUGAGGAUUGGCUCUCCUGGCACGGAGGGCUUUGUGUUAAAACCAGAGAAGGGAGGCUGCUUGUUGGCGACAGACUCUGUGAGGACGGAGACAAGGACAAAGAAGAGCAAGACAUUUUCUGGCUGUUUUCUACUUUUAUGAUGUCCUCCGGCCCGCUGAUGAAAUCCAAAGUGUUGCUACUUUUGCUCUUGGCUUGCGCAGGAAUAGAAAUGACGGACGUCUGACUGUUAGUGCUGAAGACCACUGACGGAAGACAGUUUGACUUUGUCACCAGGGGGGAAACCGAUUGUUCCAAGGAAACUUGCGGCGGAGAGUCCGGUUUGACAAGAACCUGAGCGCCGUUGAGUAUCAAAGGAGGGUUGGUCACCUGGCCCAAGGUGACCUUCUGGCUUUCCCCCAGGCCAAGGCCAUUGAUGAUGACCCCGGCACCGGUCCCAGAGAUGAGGGAGUUUCCGUUGAACAGUAACGGUUGGGAGGCUGUGAGGAAGCCGCUGGAACCGUUGAGGAUGAGUUGACCUCCCGGGGCGCAGUUCACCGCGGAUAGCGAGAUAAUGGAGGCCUUGGCGGCAGCGUGCUCUUCUGCUUUGUCAGGGGUGUCGUCCAUGGCCUCGUCGUCAGUGCUGUGGUUUCCGUCGGAUUCGCUGCAACAACGACAGCAAAACAAACAAGCAUGUAAAUAAUCACAGCAUGGAUAGACCAUUAUUGAUGUUAUUCUUAGUGGGAAUACGACUACAACUGGGCCUAUAAAACGAUAUCAAUAUACAAACCCCGUUUCCAUAUGAGUUGGGAAAUUGUGCUAGAUGUAAAUAUAAACGGAAUACAAUGAUUUGCAAAUCCUUUUCAACCCAUAUUCAAUUGAAUGC